rnacentral:rRNA from 1 species
UACGUAGGGUGCAUGCGUUAAUCGGAUUUACUGGGCGUAAAGCGUGCGCAGGCGGUUUGCUAAGACAGGUGUGAAAUCCCCGGGCUUAACCUGGGAACUGCGCUUGUAACUGGCAAGCUUGAGUGUGGCAGAGGGGGGUGGAAUUCCACGUGUAGCAGUGAAAUGCGUAGAGAUGUGGAGGAACACCGAUGGCGAAGGCAGCCCCCUGGGCUAACACUGACGCUCAUGCACGAAAGCGUGGGGAGCAAACAGG